UCCUGGGUGGCUCAGUGGUAAAGAAUCUGCCUGCCAAUGCAGGAGACACAGGUUCGAUCCCUGUAUCGGGAA
rnacentral:tRNA from 1 species